UCCUGCAGCACCAACUCUGCUCAUGCUUAGCACCUGCAUAUUGUCAUAUCAAGCACCAAAUUAUGGACACUGCAACAGAAUUCAAAGUCUCAGUUCUGUUAAUUGUGAUUUUGUUCAAUUUUUCAGACCGUAUUCGAGUCAACCAUCCACAGAUUGGGAAACUGAAAAUUGAGUUUCAUUACAACCCUAUUUCUGGAGCAAAGAAUAUAAACUGUUAAUGAAAGUUCUCCAUCAUAUACCUUGAUUUGGAGCUGAAGGAAUUUGACAUAUUCAAUGAUUUCAUCUAGCAUGGAUGCCUUGUCAGUCUGAAAAAUCAUGAAUCAUGUCAGCUCUUCUUUAAAUCCAGCCACUAUAAAUUACACUGGCAACUGUUUCAGUGCGAGAUGGAAGAGCUUACCCUGUUAGAAUUCGGCACCAGUUCUUGCAGGUCUUGGAAACAGAGAAUGCAUGAAGAAGCAAAACUUUAUAUGAAUGACACAACUAACCCUUUCAGCAAUACUGUGUGGAUCAGUUGCCUGGCCUCGACGUGCCCUCAUACGAGGCUUUCCAGUUCCAGUACAUUCAGCAGAGGGGGUAGUUGAUGUAGCCUGUAAGUGAAAAUUGUAAGUUCAUUUUUUUACAAUGCUUGAUAGAAUUAGGAUUUCCUUCUCAAAAGUAUCCAAGAGAACAGUGGAGCUAGGAUAAGUACCUGCUGUAAA